AUUUCAAGCCAGCAGAUUUACAAGCCUCACACCACAGUUGCAAACAGGGGAGCAAGCGAGUUUGUGUCCGCCCAGCUCUGAUGGGUCUCAAGUGUUGCUCUUUCAGGAUUUAACAUGUCUGGCAGUGGUUUUGGUGAGAAAAUGGAAAAUACAUAGGUGACAUUAACUCAUGAGAAAGGUGAAGAAUGAGCGAGCAAGUCACUGAGGCUUCAUAUUUAGGCUUUGUAGCUUGGCAGAAAUAAACAGCAUUUGCUUUUUAAUAAGGUCAAACAUCAAGCCCUACAUCCUGGCAGCCAGGAGCCAGGCUGUGUUUGCAGGGCAGGGACUUCUGGCCAGACAAGCAGGGAGCCAGCGAACAACUGAGAGAUUAUGGUGAAUUAAAGCUCCUCGUCCAGCACUGUAGCCUAAAGCAAACAGGUGCUGCUGUGGAAGGCCCGGAGAGGAGGUGGGAGAGCAUCACGCGUUGCCCGGCAGGAGGGAAGGAGCUGAGCAGCCACCGUGGUGCCUGGCUGACCCUGGGGAUGGCUGUGUGGGGUGCUCGGCACAGCUGAGAUCCAGGCACCUGCCCCACCGUGAUGGGAACCCUCAUGCUGAAACCCUUGUGCCUUCCACAGGAGCUCCAAAGAGGUGUUUGGAAAAGCAGCUUUGGCAAAUGCUGUCAGAGGCAGAAGAUCCUGUGGCAGAAGGCCUUGCAGGCUCUGGUGGGAGCAGUUGAAGCUUGCACGCUUUCAGUUACAUCUUGGAAUUAAAAAUAAACUAACGUAAACUGCAACAUGUGAAGCACAAGGUGUGGGACCAGCUUCCUGGGGGCCGCUCAGAGCACGCGAUGGGGAAUGGACAGAAGACUUGUUUCUACAGCCAUCGCAGACGACUUCUUCCUUCAGCUGAAGCCCCACCUCAGACCCUGUGGUGCCUCUUGAUGCAGCGG